GUAUUUUUAUUAUUUGUCUCAAUCUUUUACUUUUUUUUGCAUGUUAUUGCAGACUGCCAACAUGUAGCGUGCUGCCAAAUGAGCUAGCUGCAAAGAGAAGCAUAUGGAAAGCCUUGUGAAAACAGAGGGAAUAUUCUCAAGACCACAGUUUUAACAACUGUACUAACAGAAGAGAAGCAGAGAGGAAAGGCAACCUUUAAGGUGUUUGACAAACUGAGUGCCAUACAACUCUCUUUUGAAAUUACAGAGGUGCUGUGUUUGACAACUCGUAGCCUCUGGAAGAUGUUUUUUUGAAGGCAAUCUGUUCCUAUCCUUAAUUAGGUGGUGCAUUCGUCAGUGAAAAUUAUAAGCACAAGAUUCAUGUUCCCUUAAAACUAAUUAAAUAAUGACUCUGGAAAACUGUCAUUACUUUUUACUUGCCUCUGACUGACCUGGAUCAAUUCUAAGUGUUUCUUCUCUUCUCUUUAUUUUCAAGCACAAAGUUGACCUCUAAUAUAAUUCAUCCACAUGUAUAAGACUCUUCUACUCACCACUUUCUUUCCUACCACCUUUUUGGCUCUGAAACUGCCAAAAUCUGUCCUAGCAGAGAUACUGAGGUAGCAAAUAUGAAACAAGUCUCACUGUUUUCCUUGCUACUAUGAGAUUUGACUGUCUCCUGUCUGCCACCUUUAUUCCUU
rnacentral:lncRNA from 1 species